UCAUAAAUAUAAGGAUUUCAGCAAGAAGCAAUCUGCAUCAGUAGCCAAAACAACUGUCCACAUUGUCUUUGAUGAAAGUGGGUCACAGGUUCUGGUACCAGAAAGUCAGUUGUCACCAGGUUUCAGAGAAAAACCUGGAAAGGAGGAGGAGAAACUCGGUAAA